CUCUUGUCGCUUGUCGCUCAUCUAUGGGGUUCUUAUUCUCAUGCUAUCUUCAGACGUUUGUUUGACUGUCGUCUGGUCUGUGCGUGCUCAUUGGUGGUCUGAGUGGUCUACGACGAUGCUAGAGUCGACAUUGGUGGCCAUUUGUUAGUGUUGUGCACUGGUCUACGACGACGUUUGGCCUCUCUGCGUUAAUUGGAGUUUCUGUGUGCCGAACAUGUCCAGAUUCUUCUUUGGGAACUAGCCAGAACAUUGCAUCUCUGUGGUGGCUGCAUUAAGCUUGGAAACUUUGGCAGCAACUUGCUGUUUGGUUUACCUCCUUUGGUGCCCGGGUUAAGUUUAACACUUGCUGAUGUUGGUGGCCAUUUGUUA